UUGGAUGAAAUUAAUGUAGGACCUACACUUUGGAAAUAGAACCUACCUAAAGUGGUGGGACAUAAAUUGAUUUCACUCAA
rfam:Medicago truncatula strain A17 chromosome 5, whole genome shotgun sequence.